rnacentral:lncRNA from 10 species
UUUCCGGCGGUGCUCGCAAGCGAGGCAGCCAUGUCUUAUCCCGCUGAUGAUUAUGAGUCUGAGGAGAUCCAAAGCAGGACCUUGCUUAUGAACGUCAGUAUGAACAGCAAACCUAUCAGGUGAUCCCUGAGGUGAUCAAAAACUUCAUCCAGUAUUUCCACAAAACUGUCUCAGAUUUGAUUGACCAGAAAGUGUAUGAGCUACAGGCCAGUCGUGUCUCCAGUGAUGUCAUUGACCAGAAGGUGUAUGAGAUCCAGGACAUCUAUGAGAACAGCUGGACCAAGCUGACUGAAAGAUUCUUCAAGAAUACACCUUGGCCCGAGGCUGAAGCCAUUGCUCCACAGGUUGGCAAUGAUGCUGUCUUCCUGAUUUUAUACAAAGAAUUAUACUACAGGCACAUAUAUGCCAAAGUCAGUGGGGGACCUUCCUUGGAGCAGAGGUUUGAAUCCUAUUACAACUACUGCAAUCUCUUCAACUACAUUCUUAAUGCCGAUGGUCCUGCUCCCCUUGAACUACCCAACCAGUGGCUCUGGGAUAUUAUCGAUGAGUUCAUCUACCAGUUUCAGUCAUUCAG